AUGUAUGUAUUUUUUACACUUUUUCAUCAUGAGUUUGGGUCACUAAUGAAAUACACUGUAAAUCCUGUGAUUCAACCUGACCAGAACUACCAUCCUCUGCGAAGGAGCAAGCUAUGUACUUUUAAAAGUCACCUUUCAAGCCUCUUGAUUGCAGGGAAUCCUUGUGUGGAGCUUGAGUCCAGGCCUGGGCUGAUCGCUGGCAGGACCAUCCCUCAUCCUGAUACCGCAUGGAGAGAGGAGCACAUUUACCGCAUCCAACCAAAAGAGGCAGUGUUACUCUGCUCUGCUGGGGAGAGAUGCAUAUGGAAAAGGGAAACUGAGGAGAAAGGGGAAAGCAGAAUGGGAGCAGGGAUGAAAAGACUUGCAGAGAUAAGGAUGAUCCAAGGGCAUCUAAUAAGGUUGCAUUCACAAUAAAGCAUUUGAAAGCCCAUUAGCUCCACUUUCCAGCACCGUAAAGCCAACAGCAACCCGAUAUCAUCAGUAACAGUCCACGGGAAGAUGACGGCCAGACGACAAGUGAGAUGUGGACAGACUAAAGGAGCUGAGAGAAGGAAGAGAUAUCGGUGAUGGGAACAAAUUGAAACAAAAUGGCGGGUGUUAUGCCGCCGGGAAAUGCUUAGGGAGAUGUCUUGCGGGCUAGUGGCGAGAAUUUACAAAACAAGGCAUAUCAUCAUGUAGUGUCUUAGAUAAUGAUCAUUGUGAAUUGACUGUUGACGGCCGUUUACAGCCAGAUCCGAAAAUGUUGCAGGUCAUGAAAAGAUCCUUUCAGUUAUCAUCUGAUAGCCAUUAAAGAUCACCAGACAUGACCUGUGUCCUUAGUCACCACGUCUACAUAAUGUAGUGUUUGCGAAGCCCUGAGGGAGGCGACAGUGGUUUCCAAGUGAGCCGGCUCCUGCUGCAAUCUGUGCUCCAUAUGUCACUAAGCCCAUUAGGGAAACACUAGGUUAACAUUACAGCUAGAGUACGAGCCGUUCUCUAUGGAAGCAGCCGUGGGUCGACAUAAAAGCGGCGUCACACUUUGUCUCCCUUCCUCUCUUUUUCUGGCUGCCUGUAGUAACUAGCCAUUGUCUUUUUCUCACCACUACGCUUUCUGAACGGCAUCCUCCAUUUCCUCGCCUUGAGUAAUUUCUCUUUCACUCAGACCUUUUUAUGCUUCUCUUCAUUUCACCCUCACUGGCGCUACAACCCGCCACUGGGGGCAGUAGAAGAUGUCGGAUUUUAGGAAAGCAUUUAGGCAGCACUGUCUGUCAGCAUGGAGUAAUGACAGCUUGUGUAAAUCGUUACUAGAACAUUUGCUAGGUCUCUUUACUGUAUAAAUCUGUAUGAUAUUUUGAACAGAGGCAUUGUAAGUGUCUGUUAUGACUGUGUCUAAACACUGAGCUGCCUUUAAGAAGAGAAAAAAUUUGUUUUUUAAAUUUUUGCAACAGAAUGCGUCCCUGUUUUCGUCGAAAAAUGACCAAUCGCAGUGUUCCCUCCUGAAAAGCAGGAAACCAAUAUGGCAUGUUCACCUAGAGGUCAGGUGGAGGUCAGUGUGGACUGUCAUGCCUCCACUCAACUCCCCCUCCUCCCCUCCCUCCUCCUCCUCCUUCCCCAUUCCUGUGACAAAGAGAGCCAGUUUGGUUGCCAGGGAAACAGGCUUUUUCCAUGGCGAUGUUGGAACACGUGGGAAGGGCAGGGCGGCUUUGUUUCGCCCUGUGAUGAAGGAUUCUCCCCAUGCAUGUUUAAUCGCCAGACUUAUGGUCCCAAACCCAACAGCCGAGCCCAUCUACCACAGCCUGAUUAUGUUCAAUGGAGCUUCUGACACUGUCAUUUUGCCAGUUUUAUCACGCUGUGCAGCUCCCACCGCGGGCACCUUAGCUAUUGUUGCACAGGGUUCCUGAUGAGUACAGCUGAGACCACAGAUAGUCAGACCAAACAAGGAAGGCACACAUGUGUCUCUGUAGCAGUAACCAAAAUAUGCCUGGCCAAAUAAACACUCAUUUUAUAUACACACACACUCUGAAACAUACAUGAGAUCGGGCACACAAUCCUUUUUGUCUUUUCUCGUAUCUCAGCACCCACCCACCACUGUUUGGCUUAGCACAGUGGGGAAAAAAAUGGCUGAUUACUAUGGCAACGGUGUGUGCCGUUCUGCUACAGCUGUGAUGUAUGUGGUGACACUUUUGACCCUGUGGUGAACUCUAUAAUGCAGGAGCUGUGCAGAGUCCGGAUAGACCCUUGCUGCCCUGCCUAUCCUGACACUAUAGUGUACCAUAUAGGUGUACUGUUAGCUUUAUAAGAGCAGGGCACAUGACAACAUAUUUUCCGACAAAGACCCAAGCAGACAAGAUCAGAGCUGCAUACCUUUGUCAUGGAAACAAAAUAAAAUCUCAACAAGGUCUUCAUCAACACCAGUUUGCUGUGACAACAGAAAUACCCGGCAUUAAAGGGAUUAUAUGUUUUGUGGUGAGUGUACAUGCUAUAUAAUACUUUGUUUACUUUGUAGAGACACCUUUAGUUACAUCAUGCAUCAAAUUGCUAAUUAUUGGACAAUCCUAUUCACCUUUAGCAUUUACCAUAAACAUUUCAGUGUAUUCUUGUGCCAAAUAUUGACUGCAGCCGCAGGGAGGAGACGGAUAUCUGUCACAUUCACAUCCAUCUAAAAGGGAAAGGCAGUCUGUUUUGGAGCCUAAGAGGUUUGUUUGGCCCUAACAUGUUUGUUUCCGACUCACCUCUCAGUUAUGUAUGUCUUUUAUUGUCACACAACACUUCUUCAGAACCUCUGUUGGCAUGCCAUUUCCACUGACAUUUACAAAUCACACACACUGUCUCAUGCAUAGAAACGGUCAAAUGCACACAGCCAGAGCCUGGAUGUGCAGGUAAGCACACAGUGCCACAGAUAGUUUUCUACAGUGAUGUGCUUGCACACAUUAGGGAAAACGUGCAUUGUUGUGUGAUAAGACAGAAAAGGCAUGCAUGCCCCUCCCACCACCACCAUCAACCAUACACACAAACACGUGCCAUUGCAAAAACACUACACACAAAAACAAGGCGACGCAACACAAAGCAAUACUAUUGCACACAAGCUCUCUCAAUCAGCACUUGUCUCCUGUCUAGUUGGUUUUGCAGAAAUGUAGCACUACUUCCAUGUUUCACCACUUGGAGUGCUGCAGCUUUGCAAAAAAACCAGCGCUCCCAAAUCUUCCACAGCUGCUGCUGCCUCACACUGAGUUGCUGUGGAGCAGAAGAAGGGGAGCUGACACCCAGUAAAUGUAGACAAGCAGACACCUUCUAAAUCAUUCACAUUGGCUUUUUUUAUUAAGAAACAAUUGGUUCCACAUGGUACCAGACGCAUAGCGAACAUAUAUAAUGUGGGACGUACAGAUAAUGCAGACAAGUGGCUGUGCUAACACCAAAAAUAUGUUCACAAAGAAAAAGUGCUGCUCUUAAAAUAAAUCACAUUUUCAGUGGCUUAGAAGACGACAAUCACAAAGAGAAAAGAAAGAAUAAUGCACCCUCAGUUACAACACAGAGCAAUGCCUGAGCUUUUAUAAUUUUUGUUACAGUCACAUAAUGUUACUUAUGUAAACUACCUCAUUCGCUGCCAAGAAAAUGUUUUCUUUUGCUCCGGCAAGUGCAGAGGGAGGAAUUUUCCACCUUUUCAACAAAAAAGUGAAACAGAACUAAAACAAAAGGGACAUUCCAUGUCCUGUUGCAGCUCCUCGGUCCUGUUUGUCCAGGUCACAGUCUGGGAGGGUCAUGACCCUCUAAGACACACUCAGACCUGCCAUACAACUGAGAAGUCAACCUGCAGGUCUGGAUAGAGAGAGAGAGAGAGAGAGAGAGAGAGAGAGAGAGAGAGAGAGAAACAAGGACGUAGAGAAAAGCAAAACAUGUAUAUACUCUCCAUGCAUGUUCUUUAUUUAUGCACGUUAGAGGAUAAUGCUGUUUUUAGUUGGACCUUAUUUUUGUUGGCUUGGCCAUCGGUUCUAUGAUAAUACUGCAUUCACCAUGUUAAUAGCUGCAACUGGGGAACAUGGCAGCAUUGCUCAAAAGAAGUCAGACAGUGGAAAAAAACGUCAAGUUCAAUAAGGGAAAACUCUUUACUCUAAGUUUUUACUUAUCCAAAUUGAAUGUGUAAGGGUGAAGGAUAUUGUUUGUUGUACAGACUGAGGCAGAUUUAGAGACUUUAGAGAUUUUAAUAAAACUAACUUGACAAGUUGUCAGACAUUCAUAUAGUUUUCUAAGAAAACUCUUCAUGCCUUCAUUACACACAAUACAACUCAACCAGCAGAAAUUUGGUCAGAGAUUCAGGUGUGUUAUACUAGUCCCAGAAAAUUUAAGAUAAAAUAAAAGCCAACGUUAAAAUAUUACUCAAACUAGACUGACCUCUAGUUUUACCUCACUUACUGUAUUUCGGUACACACAGUUUUUCUGUGCAAAAGGAAAUUAUUACUGACAUUAUGGGUGAGCUCAUCUUGGGUUUUACCCUUUAAAUAGGGUUUUGGUAGUCUUGCUGAGCCACUGGCUUGUUUGCAACCUGUCUAAACAAUCAUGUUUCUUUCCCUGUCAGAUUUUAAGUGUCACUGUGUUCCCACAUCAGUUCCUUUGUUGAGUACAGUGUUAUCAAUAAAAAUGAUGGCAAAGACUACAAAAAUAACAUCCAUGUUGUCGUAACAUGGAAUUAUCCUUUAAGCUGUCUGUCACUCUGCAUGUAUCUAUAUAUACGUGGCCCUGCCAAUCAGGGUCAUCACAUUUGGG
rnacentral:lncRNA from 1 species